rnacentral:rRNA from 1 species
GACGACCGCUCGCGGCGUGCCUAACUCAUGCAAGUCGAACGGAAAGUCCAUGCUCUUGUGCGUUGCUCUAGUGGCGAACGGGUGUGUAACUCGCGACUAACCUUCCCUUGACUUUGGGAUAACUUCAGGAAACUCGGGCUCCUCCCGGAUAUGAGCUCCCGCUCCAUGGUGGGGUUUGGAAAGUUUCGGCGGUUGGGGAUGGACACGCGGCUUAUCAGCUUGCUGUGUGGGUAGUGGUAUACCAAGGCUUUGACAGGUAGCCGGCCUGAGGGUGUGACCGGCCACAUUGGGACUGGGAUACGCCCCAGACUCCGAACGGAGGCAGCAGUGGGGAAUAUUGCACGAUGAGCGGAGGCCUGAUGCAGCAACGCCGCGUGCGGGAUGACGGCCUUCGGGUUGUAAACCGCGUUCACCGGUGACGAAGCGUGUGUGACGGUAAUGGGUAGAUAAGCAACGGCUAACUACGUG